GGACGGGUGAGUAACACGUGGGUAACCUGCCUGUAAGACGGGAAUAACUCCGGGAAACCGGAGCUAAUACCGGAUGAUAACAAGAAGCGCCUGCUUCUUUUUUGAAAGUCGGUUUCGGCUGACGCUUACAGAUGGGCCCGCGGCGCAUUAGCUAGUUGGUGAGGUAACGGCUCACCAAGGCGACGAUGCGUAGCCGACCUGAGAGGGUGAUCGGCCACACUGGGACUGAGACACGGCCCAGACUCCUACGGGAGGCAGCAGUAGGGAAUCUUCGGCAAUGGACGAAAGUCUGACCGAGCAACGCCGCGUGAGCGAUGAAGGCCUUCGGGUCGUAAAGCUCUGUUGUCAGAGAAGAACAAGUACCGGAGUAACUGCCGGUACCUUGACGGUACCUGACCAGAAAGCCACGGCUAACUACGUGCCAGCAGCCGCGGUAAUACGUAGGUGGCAAGCGUUAUCCGGAAUUAUUGGGCGUAAAGCGCGCGCAGGCGGUUUCUUAAGUCUGAUGUGAAAGCCCACGGCUCAACCGUGGAGGGUCAUUGGAAACUGGGAGACUUGAGUGCAGGAGAGAAAAGUGGAAUUCCACGUGUAGCGGUGAAAUGCGUAGAGAUGUGGAGGAACACCAGUGGCGAAGGCGGCUUUUUGGCCUGUAACUGACGCUGAGGCGCGAAAGCGUGGGGAGCAAACAGGAUUAGAUACCCUGGUAGUCCACGCCGUAAACGAUGAGUGCUAGGUGUUGGGGGGUUCCACCCUCAGUGCUGACGUUAACACAUUAAGCACUCCGCCUGGGGAGUACAGCCGCGACGCUGAAACUCAAAGGAAUUGACGGGGGCCCGCACAAGCAGUGGAGCAUGUGGUUUAAUUCGAAGCAACGCGAAGAACCUUACCAGGUCUUGACAUCCUCUGACCACUUGAGAGAUCAAGCUUUCCCCUUCGGGGGACAGAGUGACAGGUGGUGCAUGGUUGUCGUCAGCUCGUGUCGUGAGAUGUUGGGUUAAGUCCCGCAACGAGCGCAACCCUUGACCUUAGUUGCCAGCAUUCAGUUGGGCACUCUAAGGUGACUGCCGGUGACAAACCGGAGGAAGGUGGGGAUGACGUCAAAUCAUCAUGCCCCUUAUGACCUGGGCUACACACGUGCUACAAUGGGUGGUACAAAGGGUUGCGAAGCCGCGAGGCCGAGCCAAUCCCAAAAAGCCACUCUCAGUUCGGAAUGUAGAGUGCAACUCGCCAAC
rnacentral:rRNA from 1 species